rnacentral:tRNA from 1 species
GGUCUCAUGGUGUAAUGGUUAGCACUCUGCACUCUGCAUCCAGUGAUCUGAGUUCAAAUCUCGGUGAGACCU